rnacentral:lncRNA from 1 species
GACUGAGUUCGUAAGAUCUCGGUCGGGGCAGAUUGCACAGUGGAGAAAGAGUUCUCCGCUCUCGAACUUAAGUCGAAUAAAUCUUGACAUAUGACAAACGAAGGGGUUUGACGAGUUAUCCAUGAAGGACUGUAUCACAUGAUAACUGCACCUAAAGGUUCAUCAUUCUAUUCUACUGGGUAGCCACUACAUGCUGCUAGGUGUCACU